rnacentral:rRNA from 1 species
UACGUAGGGUGCAAGCGUUGACCGGAAUUAUUGGGCGUAAAGAGCUCGUAGGCGGUUUGUCGCGUCUGCUGUGAAAACUCGGGGCUUAACCCCGGGCCUGCAGUGGGUACGGGCAGACUAGAGUGCGGUAGGGGAGACUGGAAUUCCUGGUGUAGCGGUGAAAUGCGCAGAUAUCAGGAGGAACACCGGUGGCGAAGGCGGGUCUCUGGGCCGUAACUGACGCUGAGGAGCGAAAGCGUGGGGAGCGAACAGG